GAUGAAGAACGUAGCGAAAUGCGAUACGUAAUGUGAAUUGCAGAAUUCAGUGAAUCAUCGAAUCUUUGAACGCACAUUGCGCCCGCCAGUAUUCUGGCGGGCAUGCCUGUCCGAGCGUCAUUUCAACCCUCGCGCCCAUCUGGGCUGCGGUGUUGGGGACCGGCCUGCCCCCCGGGGCGCGCCGCCCCCCAAAUUCAGUGGCGGUCUCGCUGCAGCCUCCCUUGCGUAGUAGCACACCUCGCACCGGAGCGCAGCGCGGCCACGCCGUAAAACCCCCGACCCCCAUGAGUUUGACCUCGGAUCAGGUAGGAAUACCCGCUGAACUUAAGCAUAUCAAUAAGCGGAGGA
rnacentral:misc_RNA from 1 species